CCUACGGGCGGCAGCAGUGAGGAAUAUUGGUCAAUGGACGAGAGUCUGAACCAGCCAAGUAGCGUGAAGGAUGACUGCCCUAUGGGUUGUAAACUUCUUUUAUAUGGGAAUAAAAUGUUCCACGUGUGGGAUUUUGUAUGUACCAUAUGAAUAAGCAUCGGCUAACUCCGUGCCAGCAGCCGCGGUAAUACGGAGGAUCCGAGCGUUAUCCGGAUUUAUUGGGUUUAAAGGGAGCGUAGGUGGAUUGUUAAGUCAGUUGUGAAAGUUUGCGGCUCAACCGUAAAAUUGCAGUUGAAACUGGCAGUCGUGAGUACAGUAGAGGUGGGCGGAAUUCGUGGUGUAGCGGUGAAAUGCUUAGAUAUCACGAAGAACUCCGAUUGCGAAGGCAGCUCACUGGACUGCAACUGACACUGAGGCUCGAAAGUGUGGGUAUCAAACAGGAUUAGAUACCCCAGUAGUC
rnacentral:rRNA from 1 species